rnacentral:tRNA from 1 species
UUUGGUCUUGUAAGCCAAAGGAUGAAGAUCGUCUCUUCUUAGAGUU